GAUCAGCUCAUGCAGCUGUAAGACACCAUGAACUCGCUUUCAGAUCAGUUUUGCAAUGCCACUGAUGUGUUGCAGCAAUGUGGUCUUCCUGCCUCUUUUAAUAAUAUUCAGACAGCAAUUAACAAAGACCAGCCAGCUAACCCUACAGAAGAAUAUGCUCAGCUUCUUAUAGCACUGAUUGCACAAACAGCAAAAGACAUUCAUGUUUUGAUAGAUUCCUUACCCAGUGAAGAAUCUACAGCUGCUUUAUAGGCUACUCCCUUAUGUAAGCUAGAAGAACAAAACCAUGAAGCUGCUACAUAUUGUUUAUCUAGGGAAAUGCUUCUAGAAAAGAUACAAAGUGCACUUGCUGAUAUUGCACAGUCACAACUGAUCA
rnacentral:lncRNA from 1 species